AGAUAACACUGUGCAAACUAGUCCCGAGGGAUAGAUAAGAGUCCCUUCCAAAUUCAGAAGCACCAUAAAUCUCUCCCAGUCUUCCGAGACAGCUAUUGACUCUGAAGCAAAAUGGAAGAUUCAGACCUGCAAAGGGGCUUUUAACUAAUCUAGGAAAUCUCUUUGAGAGUUGGGGCUGACGGGGGGUGGGGGGUGGGGGGGGUGGUUGCAUUUAGUUUUGGCCAUUUUUCCUCCUUCAAGCGCUGUGGAUUUGUACCAACAGAUAGUGAAUUUAAGUUCAGAAAAGGUUAAGUCCACAUUUGAAAAGCAGUAUUUUCUUCAGUCAUAAGGUAUCUGGAUGAGUAAACUUCGGUCAAUAAUUCUCUACUCUUCUCUUAAGGUGGCAGGUAAGUUUGUUCAAACCACUAGGAGCCAUAAAUUGUGCUUGGGAUAACAGGGUGGAGGCAGUUUUACCUCAGGGCAGACACUAGAUGUCCAGCACAGGAGAAGAAAUGACUGCCCCCACCCAGGAGGCAAGACCUUCUUACUGAACUGAAGCAUGACUUCCCCAUGACCAAUUUGGAUAAUGAGGCUGGAGUUUUUUGGUUUUGUUUGUUUGUUUGUUUUUAAACCAAAUUCUAACAUUCACUGUCAUUAGAAACAAAACAAAAACAACUUCAUGGAUGCCCACUGUAUAUGUUAAGCAGCAAGCUGGGUGCCUACAAGUGAUUUUUUUCAAAUGCAUUCUUUGAAAGAACUAUGUCCUUAUGAAUAUUCUGACUAUGAGAUAACAUGCUUCUUGACUUUAAAAAUUUAUUCUUAACAAAUGCAUGGUUUUUAUAUGACACAAGAUCCAAAUCUGUUAUUUUACACUUUGGAAUACAGUUGUUUGCUCAAAGGAAGCUGAAUUCCAUGGGCAGUGUAUUAGAAAUGAUCUUCAGGUCGAUGCCAUGUGCUUUGGGUGGGUUACAGUAGGGGACAGGUGGGCCAUGCUUAUUUCUUUGAUAAUUGCCCACAAUAAGCGUGGCAUCCGGAAGGUAGCUCCAUAAAUAUUGUUGAUCGACAGCCAGAAUUCAUUCCAUGCUUCAGUCUGCCCACACUGUCUCUCCAGAAGAUAGUCUACUCUAUAAAUACGUGUUUUCUUCUUUACAGAAGUGAUAAAUCUGAAAUGGAGCCUACUCCUGUGAGAAACUCGAGCAGGAAAGAGGAAAGCGGAACAAGCAACUUGAAGUGUAUGCACGUAGGUGUCAGGAACUGGCCUGCUGAUCUGAGUCUCUGCCAAGGAAGAUAGGUGCAGGGCGUCAGCCUAUCUGCCUAAGUGAACGGUGGGAAAACUGCAUCAGGAAGUCAUUCUUCCUACCAGCCCCUUUGGCUUGUGCCUCCCCCAACAGCCAGAUGAAAGAGGAGUAGCUGGCUCCUUAUCACCAUCUAGCAGCUGUAAAGGUGACACUGGGCUCUGCCUGCCUGGCUGGCUUUGAGAUUAAACAGAACAUAACUUCAGGGUCCCCAAACUACUUUGGCUUGAGAGCAAAGGUAAUAACUUCUCAGACUAAACAGAUAAACCCCCUUGAACAAAGGCUG
rnacentral:lncRNA from 1 species